rnacentral:lncRNA from 1 species
UAUAAGAUUAUAUAUUGUUUCAUUGACUUGUAAAUACCACUGACUCUUUGUAUAUAGUUGUUAUAUUAAGGAUUGAGGGAGUAUGUUCAAGUGAUAAGGAUUGUAGAGAUCUUAGGUGCGAGCAUGGUAUCUUUCAAUGUGUUGAUCAUAAAUGUCAAUGCAGUAACGGUGGAGCUUCUACUAAUGGAUAUGAACCUUCAGCAUGUAUCAAAGGUGCACUUUGCAAUAGAGGGGGAAAUUAAGGUUUUAAAUGUAUUCAUCAUAUUGAUCUCUAUGGUAUCUUAUGCGAAUAAAAAU